rnacentral:rRNA from 1 species
GAGCGAUGAAGCACCUUCGGGUGUGAAUUAGCGGCGAACGGGUGAGGAACACGUGAGAAAUCUGCCUUCAACACUGGGAUAACUCCGGGAAACCGGGGCUAAUACCGGAUAUGAAAUCUGCGGGCAUCCGCGGAUUUGGAAAGUUUUUCGGUUGAAGAUGAUCUCGCGGCCUAUCAGCUUGUUGGUGAGGUAAUGGCUCACCAAGGCGACGACGGGUAGCCGGCCUGAGAGGGCGACCGGCCACACUGGGACUGAGACACGGCCCAGACUCCUACGGGAGGCAGCAGUGGGGAAUAUUGGGCAAUGGAGGAAACUCUGACCCAGCGACGCCGCGUGCGGGAUGAAGGCCUUCGGGUUGUAAACCGCUUUCAGCAGGGAAGAAGCGAAAGUGACGGUACCUGCAGAAGAAGCACCGGCUAACUAUGUGCCAGCAGCCGCGGUAAUACAUAGGGUGCAAGCGUUGUCCGGAAUUAUUGGGCGUAAAGAGCUCGUAGGUGGUUCGUCACGUCGGAUGUGAAACUCUGGGGCUUAACCCCAGACCUGCAUUCGAUACGGGCGAGCUUGAGUAUGGUAGGGGAGUCUGGAAUUCCUGGUGUAGCGGUGGAAUGCGCAGAUAUCAGGAGGAACACCAAUGGCGAAGGCAGGACUCUGGGCCAUUACUGACACUGAGGAGCGAAAGCGUGGGGAGCGAACAGGAUUAGAUACCCUGGUAGUCCACGCCGUAA